GAUGAACGCUGGCGGCGUGCUUAACACAUGCAAGUCGAACGGAAAGGCCCAAGCUUGCUUGGGUACUCGAGUGGCGAACGGGUGAGUAACACGUGGGUGAUCUGCCCUGCACUUCGGGAUAAGCCUGGGAAACUGGGUCUAAUACCGGAUAGGACCACAUUUUGGAUGGUGUGGUGGAAAGUUUUUCGGUGUGGGAUGAGCUCGCGGCCUAUCAGCUUGUUGGUGGGGUAAUGGCCUACCAAGGCGUCGACGGGUAGCCGGCCUGAGAGGGUGUACGGCCACAUUGGGACUGAGAUACGGCCUAGACUCCUACGGGAGGCAGCAGUGGGGAAUAUUGCACAAUGGGCGCAAGCCUGAUGCAGCGACGCCGCGUGGGGGAUGACGGCCUUCGGGUUGUAAACUCCUUUCGCUAGGGACGAAGCGUUAUGUGACGGUACCUGGAGAAGAAGCACCGGCUAACUACGUG
rnacentral:rRNA from 1 species